GUUGGGGGGGUGUGCUGAAGAGGACCCCUCCCCCGCUGCUUGCCGGUCUCCUUCGCGGGAGAGUCCGGACUGCGCCAAGCUCUGACGCUGCCUUCCCGCCCUAGCCCUCCCCGCUCUCGCCCCACACACAGGGCCCCCAGGGCCCGGAUCAAAGUGAACCAAGUAAGGUGCCCGGAGCACAAGAGUUAAAGAGACACUCCCCUUUUGGGGCCACGGCCAAGUCCAAAGUGAAGUUUGGUCUGAAGAUCAUGGGUUCCUGGGAAAACCCCGUGGCCACUUGUGUGUCCUCAGGAUGCAGUUGCAACCCAGGCAUGUGCCCUGACUGGGAAUCGAACUGGUGACCUUUCAUUUUGCGGGACAAUGCCCAACCAACUGAGCCACACUGGUCAGGGCUGGAGCCCUGAUUUUUGCAACUGCCGUCUAGGUGGCACCUGCAGAUCACCUGGCUCUGGUCCUGCUUUGUCCUCAGAGCAGUGAGUAGCCACUGAUCAGUGAGAGUGAAGGGUUAAAAUCUUUCCCUCUUUUGUGUGAGAAUUAUACCUUUAGUUAACUGUCUAGCACUGUUUCCUUGGAAACCGAUAAACAUGUGUCCACUAUGUUACUAGGCAACAUUGCUGUGGUAAAAAUGACCCCUAAGCAGGAGGCUAGGAUGAACCAUGCGGUAAUGGGUUAGAAAUGGAGAUACCAAUAUGGACUUGUGCUUAGCUUAAUACAGAUGCAGAUGAUUCCAUAUAAUAUGUAUAGAUACGUGCAUACACUCGGGUUAGUACACGUGCAUAGAUUUCGUUUCUCUGUCAGCAAAGAGGUGCUAGAAAGCAAUGACGCUGCCUAACAAUGAGCACCCCUGGUACCCAGAUCUUGGUUUCUAAUACCAUUCUCCAGUAAACGGAACCACGGAGAAGUGGCUGAUUCUAGGACUGGGCAGGACGUGUACAAGAGGAGCCCGGAGCAUCACACAGUGCCAGAAAGGAAGGAAGUGCUUCCGUAAACAAACACACCACACACACACCCGGGCUGAGGUAUGUCUGAGGGCACAGGGGCCAACUGAAAGAGCUCCCAGUGGCCAAACCUGGAAAACUCCUACCGACAAACUAAAUAAAGGAAUAUUGGGUCAUAACCUAAAGGAUGAUGCAUGAAAAAGAAAUGGAGAGAAAAGAUAAAUCUCCCACACAGAAUGUAGAUACUCCUUCCUCAAGGGGAGGGAACAUAACUCCCAGUUUGUAAGUGCGGGCUGAGCGAAGUGCCCUCCAGAGAGUAUGGCAUGUACUAGUGGGAGUGGGGAUGGGGGCGGGCAGGGGCACUUUCAGGGGAGAAGCCUGACAAACCUGGGUACCUGAGGCAGGUGAUCAAAGUCAACAUCAACAGUCAAGUUGUGUCGAUAGUCUGCACCCUGGAUAUGAUGGAAUGGGAAUGGCACUUUCCCUCUGGCUCUUCCCCCCCAAACCCAUAUCCCUCGUCUAACCAUGAGAUGAACGUGAGACAAAUCCCAACUGGAGGACAUUUUUAAAAAAUACCUGAGCAACACUCAUCAAAACUAUCAAGGUCAUCAAAAAUGAGGAAAGUCUGAGAAGCCGUUGGCCAAGAGCCUAAAGAGACAUGAUGACUAAAUGCAGUAUGUUGUCCUCAGUGUAGUGCUGGAGCAGAAGAAGGACAUUA